rnacentral:rRNA from 1 species
GUGGGGAAUCUUAGACAAUGGGCGCAAGCCUGAUCUAGCCAUGCCGCGUGGGUGAUGAAGGCCUUAGGGUCGUAAAGCCCUUUCGCCGGGGAAGAUAAUGACGGUACCCGGUAAGGAAACCCCGGCUAACUCCGUGCCAGCAGCCGCGGUAAUACGGAGGGGGUUAGCGUUGUUCGGAAUGACUGGGCGUAAAGCGCGCGUAGGCGGAUCGGAAAGUUGGGGGUGAAAUCCCGGGGCUCAACCCCGGAAUGGCCUUCAAAACUCCCGGUCUUGAGUUCGAGAGAGGUGAGUGGAAUUCCGAGUGUAGAGGUGAAAUUCGUAGAUAUUCGGAGGAACACCAGUGGCGAAGGCGGCUCACUGGCUCGAUACUGACGCUGAGGUGCGAAAGCGUGGGGAGCAAACAGG